rnacentral:rRNA from 1 species
AACGAACGCUGGCGGCAGGCUUAACACAUGCAAGUCGAGCGCAUCGCAAGGUGAGCGGCGGACGGGUUAGUAACGCGUGGGAACGUGCCCUUUUCUUCGGAAUAGCUUCGGGAAACUGAAGGUAAUACCGGAUACGUCCUUCGGGAGAAAGAUUUAUCGGAGAUGGAUGAGCCCGCGUUGGAUUAGCUAGUUGGUGGGGUAAAGGCCUACCAAGGCGACGAUCCAUAGCUGGUCUGAGAGGAUGAUCAGCCACACUGGGACUGAGACACGGCCCAGACUCCUACGGGAGGCAGCAGUGGGGAAUAUUGGACAAUGGGCGCAAGCCUGAUCCAGCCAUGCCGCGUGAGUGAUGAAGGCCCUAGGGUUGUAAAGCUCUUUCACCGGUGAAGAUAAUGACGGUAACCGGAGAAGAAGCCCCGGCUAACUUCGUGCCAGCAGCCGCGGUAAAAC